rnacentral:sRNA from 1 species
UACAACUCAUAACCCACCUAAUCCUUUAUCUCUCUCAUUUUUUCUGUCUCAUCUCUCUCUCUCUCUACAACCCAGAACCAAGCCGAACAUCCCUAUUCACUCUCUCUCAUUUCAUUUCGCCUCUCAUCUUCUUUCACUCAGUCUCAGACUCUCCCUCUCUUUCUCAGAUUUGAAGCUCAGCAGCCACCCACCGUCUAGCAAUCUGACUCCGACGAACUAUCUCCACUCCGGCCACCACCACACCUCAUGGCUUCAUCCCCACCUCCGGUUCUCUCCAGUGAUUCUCUGUGUGUGUGGGAUUUCGAAUUGAGGUUCGGAUGAUUUCAAUAUUAAUCUAAGAUGAUUUGGAUUCUGAUGAUGUUUGGUUUCGGGAAAUUCCGAAAUACCGAAAAUAUUUCGGGAAUCCCGAAAUUUGGGAAUCCGAAAUUUUGGUUCGGGAUCGGUUAUGAGAUUUACGUCCCGAAAAUUUUCGGUUCGGGAUUUGAUAUGUCAUUUUUGGUUCGGUAUCCCAUACCAAACCAGCCCU